ACGAACGCUGGCGGCGUGCUUAACACAUGCCAGUCGAACGGAAAGGCCCUGCUUUUGUGGGGUGCUCGAGUGGCGAACGGGUGAGUAACACGUGAGUAACCUGCCCUUGACUUUGGGAUAACUUCAGGAAACUGGGGCUAAUACCGGAUAGGAGCUCCUGCUGCAUGGUGGGGGUUGGAAAGUUUCGGCAGUUGGGGAUGGACUCGCGGCUUAUCAGCUUGUUGGUGGGGUAGUGGCUUACCAAGGCUUUGACGGGUAGCCGGCCUGAGAGGGUGACCGGCCACAUUGGGACUGAGAUACGGCCCAGACUCCUACGGGAGGCAGCAGUGGGGAAUAUUGCACAAUGGGCGGAAGCCUGAUGCAGCAACGCCGCGUGCGGGAUGACGGCCUUCGGGUUGUAAACCGCUUUCGCCUGUGACGAAGCGUGAGUGACGGUAAUGGGUAAAGAAGCACCGGCUAACUACGUG
rnacentral:rRNA from 1 species